GGGUUGUGAGGUUAAGCGACUAAGCGUACACGGUGGAUGCCCUGGCAGUCAGAGGCGAUGAAGGACGUGCUAAUCUGCGAAAAGCGUCGGUGAGGUGAUAUGAACCGCUACAGCCGUCGAUGUCCGAAUGGGGAAACCCGGUGCACUCUGUGCAUCAUUGCAGCAUGAAUACAUAGUGCUGCAAGGCGAACCGGGGGAACUGAAACAUCUAAGUACCCCGAGGAAAAGAAAUCAACCGAGAUUCCCCCAGUAGCGGCGAGCGAACGGGGAGCAGCCCAGAGCCUGAAUCAGCUUGUGUGUUAGUGGAAGCGUCUGGAAAGUCGCACGGUACAGGGUGACAGCCCCGUACACGAAAAGGCACAGGCUGUGAGUUCGAAGAGUAGGGCGGGACACGUGGUAUCCUGUCUGAAUAUGGGGGGACCAUCCUCCAAGGCUAAAUACUCCUGACUGACCGAUAGUGAACCAGUACCGUGAGGGAAAGGCGAAAAGAACCCCGGCGAGGGGAGUGAAACAGAACCUGAAACCGUGUACGUACAAGCAGUGGGAGCCUCUUUAUGGGGUGACUGCGUACCUUUUGUAUAAUGGGUCAGCGACUUAUAUUCUGUAGCAAGGUUAACCGUAUAGGGGAGCCGCAGGGAAACCGAGUCUUAACUGGGCGUUAAGUUGCAGGGUAUAGACCCGAAACCCGGUGAUCUAGCCAUGGGCAGGUUGAAGGUUGGGUAACACUAACUGGAGGACCGAACCGACUAAUGUUGAAAAAUUAGCGGAUGACCUGUGGCUGGGGGUGAAAGGCCAAUCAAACCGGGAGAUAGCUGGUUCUCCCCGAAAGCUAUUUAGGUAGCGCCUCGUGAACUCAUCUCCGGGGGUAGAGCACUGUUUCGGCUAGGGGGCCAUCCCGGCUUACCAACCCGAUGCAAACUGCGAAUACCGGAGAAUGUUAUCACGGGAGACACACGGCGGGUGCUAACGUCCGUCGUGAAGAGGGAAACAA
rnacentral:rRNA from 1 species